AUGGCUCGGCUGAAUGGUGCCUCAGGGGCCUGCACACUCCUCGUCGUCCUGCUGGUGGCGUGCGCUGCGUCCGCAGCGCGCACCGAACCGGGCGCCGCGCGGCAGCUGUGGAGCGACGGGAGGAAGGUGGGGGGAAGGACGGAGGUGACGGACGUGGAGGGCGACAGGGAAGUGCAGGAGCUGGGGCGGUACUCCGUUGAAGAGCACAACCGGCGCCGGGAGGAGGGCUGCGAGGGCGGCGGCGGCGGCCGGCUGGAGUUCGCCCGCGUGGUGUCCGCGCAGCGCCAGGUGGUCUCCGGGAUCAAGUACUACCUCCGCGUCGCGGCCGCCGAGGAAAACGGCGUCAGCGACGGCCGCGUGUUCGACGCCGUGGUGGUCGUGAAGCCCUGGCUCCAGUCCCGCGCGCUGGUCAGGUUCGCGCCGGCCGACUCCAAAUGA
rnacentral:rRNA from 1 species